rnacentral:rRNA from 1 species
CUACGGGGUGCGCAGCAGUGGGGAAUAUUGCACAAUGGAGGAAACUCUGAUGCAGCAACGCCGCGUGGAGGAUGACACUUUUCGGAGCGUAAACUCCUUUUAUAUAGGAAGAAGAUGACGGUACUAUAUGAAUAAGCGCCGGCUAACUCCGUGCCAGCAGCCGCGGUAAUACGGAGGGCGCAAGCGUUACUCGGAAUCACUGGGCGUAAAGAGCGUGUAGGCGGAUUAAAAAGUCAGAAGUGAAAUCCUAUAGCUUAACUAUAGAACUGCUUCUGAAACUCUUAAUCUAGAAUAUGGGAGAGGUAGAUGGAAUUUCUGGUGUAGGGGUAAAAUCCGUAGAGAUCAGAAGGAAUACCGAUUGCGAAGGCGAUCUACUAGAACAUUAUUGACGCUGAGACGCGAAAGCGUGGGGAGCAAACAGGAUUAGAUACCCCGGUAGUC